AAGACUAUACUUUCAGGGAUCAUUUCUAUAGUUUGUUUCUAGUGAAAUGCGUUUCUAAAGUGUCUGGUCUCGCUAACCAUGAUGAGGAGUUACAGUGUUUUCUUCUGAGCGUGAAGCGGGUCUUGAAUGCUGCUUCACUGUAGCUGUUCUUGAUCAUUGAUGACUGUUCUGCCCUCUUUUGAGGGUGGAGGAAGAAAACACGGUCUGAGUGGU